UACGUAGGGUGCGAGCGUUGUCCGGAAUCACUGGGCGUAAAGGGCGCGUAGGCGGCCUGCUAAGUCGAACGUGAAAUCCCUGGGCUCAACCCAGGAACUGCGUCCGAUACUGGUUGGCUUGAAUCCGGGAGAGGGACGUGGAAUUCCAGGUGUAGCGGUGAAAUGCGUAGAUAUCUGGAGGAACACCGGUGGCGAAGGCGACGUCCUGGACCGGCAUUGACGCUGAGGCGCGAAAGCCAGGGGAGCAAACGGG
rnacentral:rRNA from 1 species